AUAAAAUAAACUUUUAUCCCUCUACCCAGGACUCUGCCCCAGUUUCCUGUCUCUAACCUCGUGUGCAGGGCUGACCCACUUCUGGCUAUUUUUAUUUGCUUCCUUGAAAAUGCUCGCUGUGUGAUUAGAGUUGACUCUUGCCAACUUUGUCCUUAUCCUCCCUGCCAUCUGAGUCCAAAAGAGCAGCCCUGCCCACCUCGGUCCCAAUAACUGUGGGUGCGAUCAGAGCCAAAAAACAGCAAAGAGAGUUUUACAGGCGAUGUGACAAAUAAGUGACCCCUUUUCUUUGAAUGAGAGAAGCAGAAUAAGCAGCUACCACCCGCACCUGCAUCGUUUUGUUCCGUCUGAUGUUCUUCUCCGAAGUCACAGGUGCCACUGGAGAUGGCACUUCCAGCUCCCAGCAUUCCUGGGGGGCCACCUGGGCUCCCCCUACCUGGGGCGCAGUAAGUGCAUGUGCAGUCACUUAUCUCGGAUACAACCUGAGUCAACAGUGGAACCAGGAAGUGGACUCAGGGUCCAGUAUCAUAUGGAAACUGUCCCCAACUGCUGACCGCUUCUUACGCGCUGCUAGCUGCUUCCGCUGUUUCCGCCCUUCUUGGAAGGCAUCGUGGGCCGAGGCAGAUGGGACGCAGGCGCAGAUGUCCGUGGCCUGGGCUUGCGGUCCGAAGUCAAGACUGGAUCGUUGGGAAACAAUAAACAGGAGACUACAGGAAAAACCAGACAGCUCGUCUUGAAAAGUCACAGAGCUGGCAGGGCUGGACCUUUGCUCACUCUGGACCUGAGAGGCGGAUGCCCCUGACAUGUGGCACAUGCUGUCCACUGGCCACCGUCUCCACAACACCAAGGAUGGUCUUCCUGGACACGAACACCGAGUAUCGGGUGCUGCUGGUCAUGAGCUUCUCUCCCUGCCACCCCCGACGUGCCUCCUUCUUGAAGGGUCUUCUGAUCUUUGUGGGCAUUGGAGCUUGCUGACCCUGCUCGGUGGAGUUUUUUCAGAAAUCCCGUCCUUUAUCUCUAACGGACCACUAGCCUUCUUCCUUCCUCCCUUCCUUCCUUCCCUCCCUCUCUCUUCCUUCCCUCCC